rnacentral:lncRNA from 1 species
AGUUUUACACUUAAAUGUUUUCUUCACACCCUUUAGCAAAACUGCUUUACGUACAGCUGACAACCAGCUGACUGAUGUCUAGGAGACGUGGAAAGCCUUGUGCUGAGCUGGGACUAUCGAGCAGGUUUCCCAUUGGAAUUAUGAUCCCUUGUGCACCUUUGUCUUCUGUUUUGCAGGAGUCAUGAUUUCCUUUUUUUAUGUCAACUUCUUUAUGCAGUUGGCUGCGUAUCAAAAAUUACCACUCCGUGCCAGAAUCUAGUCAGCACUUCAAAAGACACCCUCCCAAUCAGAAUUCUGCUGAGGCAGGAUGAUUGGACUUCCUUCCCACUGAAGAAAAAGUUUGUAAAAGAGAGGAAGAGCAGGAAGAAGAUAUCCUCCUUUCUCAAGACUGAAUUAUAUUCCAUUGUGUAUAUGCCCCACACCCUUUGGAUCCAUUCAUCCUCUGAUGGGUAUUUGAGUUGUCUCCUCAUCUCGUCUAUUGUAAAUAGUGCUGCGAUAACCAUGGAAUGCAAAUAUGUGGUAGAAAUUUUGUUUUCACUUAUUUUGGGUACAUACACAGAAGUAGAAUUGCUGGGUUAUAUGAUACAUAUAUUUUUAGUUUUUUGAGGAAACUCCAUCUUGUUUUUCCACAGUGAUUGGACCAAUUUAUAUUCCCACCAACCAUGUACAAGUGUUCCCUUUUCUCCACAUGCUCACCAUCACCUGCUGUCUCUCAUCCUGAUGACAGCCAUUCUAACAGGUAUAAAUUGAUUUGCUUGUUGAUGAUGAUGACUAGAUGACUAGAUGAUUUCUAGAUGACUAGAAAUAUCUCUCAUGUGCUUGUUGACCAUUUUGAUAACCCCUUUGGAAAAAUGUUCUUCUGCCCAUUUUUAAAUUAGAUUGUUUAAACUUACACAAUGUUAUGAGUCAAAUUUAUUCGAUUUUUAAUAGAGUGGGAGGAAGAAUCAGAAAAGACGAAACAACAAAUUGAUAAGACUCCCAGGGGCAAGGUUUGGCAAAACAAACAAGGUCAGGGAGAAUCUGAAAAUGGGGAGAAUCACCAGAGAUGCAUGCUUCUUUUAAAAAAUUUGCCUGGAUAUAUGGAGUAGGAAACAGUAACCCACUCCAGUAUUCUUGGCUGGAAAAUCCCCUGGACAGAGGAGGCUGGCGGGCUCCUACAGGGCUACAGUGCAUGGGGUCAUAAAGAAUCGGGACACAACUUAGCGACUAAACAACAACCAGUGUAAAACUCAACCCACCCUACUCACCCAGCAUCCUGGUUUCCCCCUCCAUGCCUUCUUAUCUUCAGUUAACCUUC